rnacentral:rRNA from 1 species
CGCAUCUGUGCAUGCAGCAUAUCAAUAAGCGGAGGAAAAGAAACUAACAAGGAUUCCCUCAGUAACGGCGAGUGGAGCGGGAAGAGCUCAAAUUUGAAAUCUUGAAAGGUCACCUUUCACGAAUUGUAGUUUAAAGAAGUGUUUUCUGUUACGAUCGUAAUAUAAGUUCUUUGGAAUAGGACAUCACAGAGGGUGAGAAUCCCGUCUAUGAUUGCGAUUUGUAGCUUUGUGAUACACUUUCAAAGAGUCGGGUUGUUUGGGAAUGCAGCCCAAAACGGGAGGUAAAUUUCUUCUAAGGCUAAAUAUUGGCGAGAGACCGAUAGCGAACAAGUACCGUGAGGGAAAGAUGAAAAGAACUUUGAAAAGAGAGUUAAAUAGUACGUGAAAUUGUCAAAAGGGAAGCGUUUAACACCAGUGUUGUUUUCUGAAAAUCAACCUCUGUUAGCUUUAUGCAUGUUUGUUUAGACCUAAUCAGCUAUCUUGCAUGUUCUAUUGUUUGCAGUGGUGCACUUUUCAGUUUACAGGUCAACAUCAGUUUUUUUUACCGUAAAAAAGUUAAAGAAAGGUAGCUCAUGGCUCCGGUCGUGAGUGUUAUAGUCUUUUUCCUAUGCGGUAGGAGAGACUGAGGUCUGCAGUGUAGGCUAUUUGGCUAGAUACUCAGGUGCUAUGUGAUACCAUUUCAUAAACAACUUGUUGAUUAUGUUUUGUCUAUUGCAUACUCGCUUGUACUAUCAUACCUACGCUUAGGAUGUUGACGAUCAGCUGAGCGC